CUUAGAUGUUCUGGGCCGCACGCGCGCUACACUGACAGAGCCAACGAGUUCAUCACCUUGGCCGGAAGGUCUGGGUAAUCUUGUUAAACUCUGUCGUGCUGGGGAUAGAGCAUUGCAAUUAUUGCUCUUCAACGAGGAAUGCCUAGUAAGCGCAAGUCAUCAGCUUGCGUUGAUUACGUCCCUGCCCUUUGUACACACCGCCCGUCGCUACUACCGAUUGAAUGGCUCAGUGAGGCCUUCGGACUGGCCC
rnacentral:rRNA from 14 species